CGGCUGGAGGCGACUUAGAUGCCAUGUGAUGGUCAUUUGAAGACAGGACUUCUGAAUAUCAGGACAGAGAUCUAGUUUGUUCUCUCUCUGCCGUGUGGUACCAUGAAAGUCACCCGUGUCACCAGGAAGAGCACCCACCAGAACACAAACAUGCUGGCACUAUGACCUCAGACUUUAAGCCUCCAGAAUGGUGAGAAAUAAACUUCUGAUGUUUAAGCCACAC